GUUUACUUGACCCUUACUUCUUGCAAUCUUUAUAAACGACCUUCCCAAUGUUGUUUCAGAUAUGUUAGAUACAACACUCUGUGCUGACGAUUCAAAACUUUAUAAAAGCAUCUUGAGCAUACAAAGCUGUGAAAUUCUUCAACAAUCUCUCAACAAUUCCAGCACCUGGAGCCAUGAAGACAACAUGACCUUUAACGCAUUGCAAUGAAAAGUUCUGUCAGCGAGCAGAAAAGUAAGUCCAGUUGGUUUUGACUAUCACCUUGAAGAUGAAACAUUAGCUAAUGUCCGAAAAGAAAAAGAUCUCGGCGUUCUAAUAACAAGCCACCUUACUUGGGACCAGCAAGUUCUAGCCGUUGUGUGUAAAGCCAACAAGAUGCUUGGUCUUCUACGUAUGACUUGUCCGUUGAUUCGUAACACAAGAGUAAGACGAUCACUCUAUCUUUCACUAGUUAAGUACCACCUGAAUUAUGCUACUGAAGUCUGGUCUCCGUCACAUAAUCCCCUCAAACUGAAAAUGUACAAAGAAGAGCGAUGGCAUGCAUGCUGCAGCAAAGAAAAGGAGAGAACAAUCGUCCCAGGAUGGACUUGUGACUUUAUACCGCUAUAUUAUGUUAUGUAAGGGAAUGAAAGGACUUGGUUUUCUUUUAUAAGGCUUUGUACGCACACAUUGAUAUGGAUAUUUCAACUUUGUUUCUUUUGUCACUCACGAUGUACCAGUAAAGUGAGAACGCUAAAAACAGCAUACUGUCGAACCAGCACGUUGCAGUCAUCAUAUCUCAAGUCAUCAUCGUCAAGCCUUGGAACCACAUUAUUCUCGCUGUUUCUCCGAAUAGCCUUUCAAGUUUAUCGCUGUUCAAGAAGUUCAUAAAGGACUUAUUUAAAUUGGACGUGGACUCUUGUGCGUGGAUGCUAUUGUCAUAGGUAAUCAAGUAAACUUUGAUAUAGAGCGUUCAAAUAAAGGCGAGUGAUGAUGUUUUGUAACAAGUCAUUGACAUUGGUUCUAUUUUGAUUUGAGUUGAUUUUAAUUUGAUUUGAAUUCAAAUUUAACAUUUGAUUUUAAUUAUUCUAUAUUAUUCAUCAUUCGCUUCUGUUUGAGUGUUCUACUUUUGUUAUUCAUUAACUACAGUGUUAUAAUAUUCUAUUUAGGUGUUUGCAUGUUUUAUACCGUAAAGCUCCGAAUAUAAGCCCACCCGAAUAUAAGCCUCUCCGUGUAUAAGCCCAUGGGCUUAUUAUUGAGCAGCAGCUCAGACGAGUGAUGAAAGUUACAUUACAAUUAUAAUAUGUUAGUCAACUUGGUUUAUGUGUUACAUACUGUAUGUUUAUAUUUCUUAAUUUUCGUUCAUGCACAAUAUAGUUCACAGG
rnacentral:lncRNA from 1 species